rnacentral:rRNA from 1 species
GUGGCGAACGGGUGAGUAACACGUGGGUAAUCUGCCCUGUACUCUGGGAUAAGCCUGGGAAACUGGGUCUAAUACCGGAUAUGACCUUUCACCGCAUGGUGGGGGGUGGAAAGUUCCGGCGAUAUGGGAUGAACCCGCGGCCUAUCAGCUUGUUGGUGGGGUAAUGGCCUACCAAGGCGACGACGGGUAGCCGGCCUGAGAGGGUGACCGGCCACACUGGGACUGAGACACGGCCCAGACUCCUACGGGAGGCAGCAGUGGGGAAUAUUGCACAAUGGGCGCAAGCCUGAUGCAGCGACGCCGCGUGAGGGAUGACGGCCUUCGGGUUGCAAACCUCUUUCGCCAGGGACGAAGCGCGAGUGACGGUACCUGGAUAAGAAGCACCGGCUAACUACGUGCCAGCAGCCGCGGUAAUACGUAGGGUGCGAGCGUUGUCCGGAAUUAUUGGGCGUAAAGGGCGCGUAGGCGGUGUUGUAAGUCACCUG